rnacentral:rRNA from 1 species
AUUGAACGCUGGCGGCAUGCUUUACACAUGCAAGUCGAACGGUAACAGGGAGCUUGCUCCGCUGACGAGUGGCGAACGGGUGAGUAAUGCGUCGGAACGUGCCGAGUAGUGGGGGAUGACGCAGCGAAAGUUGUGCUAAUACCGCAUACGUACUGAGGUAGAAAGUGGGGGACCUUCGGGCCUCACGCUAUUCGAGCGGCCGGCGUCUGAUUAGCUAGUAGGUGAGGUAAAGGCUCACCUAGGCGACGAUCAGUAGCGGGUCUGAGAGGAUGAUCCGCCACACUGGGACUGAGACACGGCCCAGACUCCUACGGGAGGCAGCAGUGGGGAAUUUUGGACAAUGGGCGAAAGCCUGAUCCAGCCAUGCCGCGAGUCUGAAGAAGGCCUUCGGGUUGUAAAGGACUUUUGUCGGGGAGGAAAUCCCCAGCGCUAAUACCGCUGGGGGAUGACAGUACCUGAAGAAUAAGCACCGGCUAACUACGUGCCAGCAGCCGCCGUAAGAC